ensembl:lncRNA
GGGAUAAAACAGGUGUGCUCAGACAGGGAGACACCAGCAGCUUUGUGCCAGCAGAGAGUUUACACAGGUGAACAGGAGGAGACGCAUUCCAGCUCAGCAGCUUCAGCAUGAACUCCAGCGCUAUUCUGCUCUUCCUGGGACUGAUGGGGACAGCGUUCAGCAGCCCGGUUUGUCCUCAAAACUGCAACCACGCUCAGCACUAUCACAGGCAGUACUUCACUCAUGUGUCAGACCUCCAAAGUUCUUCAGUCGCGCCCUGGAAACUACAAAACAACUCUAAAGCAGGGCGAGAACCAGAGACCAUCCUGCAGGCCGUAUGCUUGCCUUGCAGUGUGAAGGACAUGGAGGCCAGACCAAUCUUCUUACAGAUUCAGGUGUACGAGAGGAUAGGCACGCAUGAGUAUUGCAGCUGUCCGUUCGAUCUGGCGGUUGGAUGCACCUGUGUCGCG